UGCACGUCUCUUUAUUUUCCUCACAUGAAAACCCUAUCUCUUUUGCACCUCUUAUUCUUUUUCUCACGCGAAAACCAUAUCUUUGUUAAAGAAAUUUAAAUGAGUCGCCAUCGCUUCCAAGAUUUCCCAAAACACUAUUGCUGGUGCAUUUCACUGUCUCAAGUUUGUUCAAUUUCUUUUUGGAUGAAGGAAGAAUUGUUAGGAAUCAUAGUGUCUUCAGAUUUGGAGGACGGUGCUACUUCUUUCACAUCAAUAUAAGUGCUUAAGAAUAAGGUCCUAAUGGAGUGAUAUGAGGAACCAUAGCGUAAUCUUUAGGGUCGAAGAUGGAAAAUCUGGACGUGUCCAGAAUACCUAGGUUCGGUAAACAAGGGUCAUAUACAAUGCCCCUACCAUGGUUAGUAUUCAUUGGAAUGAAUAACUUCUUUCUUCUUCAGUAGCAUGAUUAUUAUAUGAUAGUAAUGAGUUACACGACAGGACAAACAAUUUUUUUUUGAGAUAGACUCUAAAAAUUAUGUCAUUGUUGGAUAUCA